rnacentral:rRNA from 1 species
GACGAACGCUGGCGGCGUGCUUAACACAUGCAAGUCGAACGGAAAGGCCCUGCUUUCGUGGGGUGCUCGAGUGGCGAACGGGUGAGUAACACGGGAGUAACCUGCCCUUGACUUUGGGAUAACUUCAGGAAACUGGGGCUAAUACCGGAUAGGAGCUCCUGCUGCAUGGUGGGGGUUGGAAAGUUUCGGCGGUUGGGGAUGGACUCGCGGCUUAUCAGCUUGUUGGUGGGGUAGUGGCUUACCAAGGCUUUGACGGGUAGCCGGCCUGGGAGGGUGACCGGCCACAUUGGGACUGAGAUACGGCCCAGACUCCUACGGGAGGAAGCAGUGGGGAAUAUUGCACAAGGGGCGGAGGCCGGAUGCAGCAACGCCGCGUGCGGGAUGACGGCCUUCGGGUUGUAACCCGCUUUCGCCUGUGACGAAGCGUGAGUGACGGUAAUGGGUAAAGAAGCACCGGCUAACUACGUG